rnacentral:rRNA from 1 species
GGAGUCCAACGUGCGCGCGAGUCAAUGGGAAACUAACUUUAAACCCAAAGGCGGAGCGAAAGCGAGUGGGUCGACUAGGCCCGUUUGGGAGGAUGGGCGCACCUUAGCCGGUCGCCCCGCACUCCCGGGGCGUCUCGCCACGGUAGAUCCGCGUCGCGCGACUCGUCGCGCGCGCGGUCGCACCGGAGACGCACCUCUAGCGCGCACGCUGGGACCCGAAAGAUGGUGAACUAUGCCUGGUCAGGACGAAGUCAGGGGAAACCCUGAUGGAGGUCCGCAGCGAUUCUGACGUGCAAAUCGAUCGUCAGAACUGGGUAUAGGGGCGAAAGACCAAUCGAACCGUCUAGUAGCUGGUUCCCUCCGAAGUUUCCCUCAGGAUAGCUGGCGCUCGCAUAGCGACAAUAUAGAGUCUCAUGCGGUAAAGCGAAUGAUUAGAGCGAAUCGGGGUCGAAACGACCUCUACCUAUUCUCAAACUUUAAAUGUGUGAGAUCUCCGGCUUGCCCGAUUAACGAAGCCGCGAGAUCGGAUCUAGAGUGCCAAGUGGGCCAUUUUUGGUAAGCAGAACUGGCGCUGUGGGAUGAACCAAACGCGAAGUUAAAGCGCCCAAAUCGACGCUCAUGGGAAACCAUGAAAGGCGUUGGUAACUCAGGACAGCAGGACGGUGACCAUGGAA